rnacentral:lncRNA from 1 species
UUUUUUCUUGCCCAUCUGGCACGUUCACCUCCAUUUGAUUUCACCGGAAAAAUAGAGAACACAACUUCCCCCCAUAACUCUCUCGACUUCAAAAAUCAUUGCUUUUCAAGCAAAAAUAUCUCUCACAAACACGUUCACCUCUAUAUCAUUUUCUGCCUUCAGUAAGCUUCUCUGGCAUCGCCUCACCUUUCACGGCAGCUCCUACUACACAUGCAUCCCAUACUACACAUGCAGCUUUGCCACCAUGCUUUUGUAACGCCUUCCUGUAACUAUCUCGUCACACACUUAUUCUGUGGCUCCACCACCACCUGGCGGCGGAACAACGAAACCUGGGUCUGAUACCAUGUAGAAAUAAACUAUAAAACUGAUGACUUCAAAUUAAACAAGAUGAAUAUAUAUGUAUAAGAGCAAAUGAACUCCAAAGACUACAUUGUAUUUCUCCUGAUAUAUUAAAAGAGAUACAUCACAUAAUAUAUAAAGGCUACCCAACAAAGUGAUAGCAACUAACUAGUGUCCACCUGAAACUAAACUCUACUACUCCAUGAUCCUAAAAACACUCAUUACUAAUCCAAUACUCUCCCACAAUUUCUCUAACUUAUCCUCUACUAAUAAAACAAUUAGUGAUUAUACUAAUUUAUUUAUUUCAAGUUUAGAUUAUUAGAAUAUAAUUCCAACAAUCUCCCCCUUAAUCUAAACUUAGCUUCUAUGCCCGUCUGGCAAGUUCUUCGGUGCCCAUCUGACUUUCUUUAUUGGCCCGUAUGACCUUUUGAACUGAGCCCGUAUGGCUAUUUUGUUUUGCCCGUCUGGCUACGUCUUCAUCUGCCCGUAUGGCUUUCAAUUUAGCCCGUAUGGCUUUCAACCCAUUUGGUUUUCAACUUAGCCCGUAUGACCCUUCUUAUUUGCCUAUCUGGCACGUCUUGUUUGCCCAUAUUGCACACUUGUUUGCCCAUCUGGCCUUUUUUUUCUUGCCCAUCUGGCACUUUUUUCUUGCCCAUCUGGCACGUUCACCUCCAUUUGAUUUCACCGGAAAAAUAGAGAACACAACUUCCCCCCGUAACUCUCUCGACUUAAAAAAUCAUUGCUUUUUAAGCAAAAAUAUCUCUCACAAACACGUUCACCUCUAUAUCAUUUCCUGCCUUCAGUAAGCUUCUCCGGCAUCGCCUCACCUUUCACGGCAGCUCCUACUACACAUGCAUCCCAUACUACACAUGCAGCUUUGCCACCAUGCUUUUGCAACGCCUACCUGUAACUAUCUCGUCACACACUUAUUCUGCGGCUCCACCACCACCUGGCGGCGGAACAACGAAACCUGGCUCUGAUACCAUGUAGAAAUAAACUAUAAAACUGAUGACUUCAAAUUAAACAAGAUGAAUAUAUAUGUACAAGAGCAACUGAACUCCAAAGACUACAUUGUAUUUCUCCUGAUAUAUUAAAAGAGAUACAUCACAUAAUAUAUAAAGGCUACCCAACAAAGUGAUAGCAACUAACUAGUGUCCACCUGAACCUAAACUCUACUACUCCAUGAUCCUAAAAACACUCAUUACUAAUCCAAUACUCUCCCACAAUUUCUCUAACUUAUCCUCUACUAAUAAAACAAUUAGUGAUUAUACUAAUUUAUUUAUUUCAAGUUUAGAUUAUUAGAAUAUAAUUCCAACAAUCUCCCCCUUAAUCUAAACUUAGCUUCUAUGCCCGUCUGGCAAGUUCUUCGGUGCCCAUCUGACUUUCUUUAUUGGCCCGUAUGACCUUUUGAACUGAGCCCGUAUGGCUAUUUUGUUUUGCCCGUCUGGCUACGUCUUCAUCUGCCCGUAUGGCUUUCAAUUUAGCCCGUAUGGCUUUCAACCCAUUUGGUUUUCAACUUAGCCCGUAUGACCCUUCUUAUUUGCCUAUCUGGCACGUCUUGUUUGCCCAUAUUGCACACUUGUUUGCCCAUCUGGCCUUUUUUUUCUUGCCCAUUUGGCACUUUUUUCUUGCCCAUCUGGCACGUUCACCUCCAUUUGAUUUCACCGGAAAAAUAGAGAACACAACUUCCCCCCGUAACUCUCUCGACUUCAAAAAUCAUUGCUUUUCAAGCAAAAAUAUCUCUCACAAACACGUUCACCUCUAUAUCAUUUUCUGCCUUCAGUAAGCUUCUCUGGCAUCGCCUCACCUUUCACGGCAGCUCCUACUACACAUGCAUCCCAUACUACACAUGCAGCUUUGCCACCAUGCUUUUGCAACGCCUACCUGUAACUAUCUCGUCACACACUUAUUCUGCGGCUCCACCACCACCUGGCGGCGGAACAACAAAACCUUGCUCUGAUACCAUGUAGAAAUAAACUAUAAAACUGAUGACUUCAAAUUAAACAAGAUGAAUAUAUAUGUACAAGAGCAACUGAACUCCAAAGACUACAUUGUAUUUCUCCUGAUAUAUUAAAAGAGAUACAUCACAUAAUAUAUACAUAAAGGCUACCCAAAAAAGUGAUAGCAACUAACAAGUGUCCACCUGAAACUAAACUCUACUACUCCAUGAUCCUAAAAACACUCAUUACUAAUCCAAUACUAAUCCAAUACUCUCCCACAAUUUCUCUAACUUAUCCUCUACUAAUAAAACAAUUAGUGAUUAUACUAAUUUAUUUAUUUCAAGUUUAGAUUAUUAGAAUAUAAUUCCAACAAUCUCCCCCUUAAUCUAAACUUAGCUUCUAUGCCCGUCUGGCAAGUUCUUCGGUGCCCAUCUGACUUUCUUUAUUGGCCCGUAUGACCUUUUGAACUGAGCCCGUAUGGCUAUUUUGUUUUGCUCGUCUGGCUACGUCUUCAUCCGUAUGGCUUUCAAUUUAGCCUGUAUGGCUUUCAACCCAUUUGGUUUUCAACAUAGCCCGUAUGACCCUUCUUAUUUGCCUAUCUGGCACGUCUUGUUUGCCCAUAUUACACACUUGUUUGCACAUCUGGCCUUUUUUUUCUUGCCCAUUUGGCACUUUUUUCUUGCACAUCUGGCACGUUCACCUCCGUUUGAUUUCACCGGAAAAAUAGAGAACACAACUUCCCCCGUAACUCUCUCGACUUCAAAAAUCAUUGCUUUUUAAGCAAAAAUAUCUCUCACAAACACGUUCACCUCUAUAUCAUUUUCUGCCUUCAGUAAGCUUCUCCGGCAUCGCCUCACCUUUCACGGCAGCUCCUACUACACAUGCAUCCCAUACUACACAUGCAGCUUUGCCACCAUGCUUUUGCAACGCCUACCUGUAACUAUCUCGUCACACACUUAUUCUGUGGCUCCACCACCACCUGGCGGCGGAACAACAAAACCUGGCUCUGAUACCAUGUAGAAAUAAACUAUAAAACUGAUGACUUCAAAUUAAACAAGAUGAAUAUAUAUGUACAAGAGCAAAUGAACUCCAAAGACUACAUUGUAUUUCUCCUGAUAUAUUAAAAGAGAUACAU